GAUGAACGCUGGCGGCGUGCCUAAUACAUGCAAGUCGAGCGAACGGACGAUAAGCUUGCUUCUCUGAUGUUAGCGGCGGACGGGUGAGUAACACGUGGAUAACCUACCUAUAAGACUGGGAUAACUUCGGGAAACCGGAGCUAAUACCGGAUAAUAUUUUGAACCGCAUGGUUCAAAAGUGAAAGACGGUCUUGCUGUCACUAAUAGCUGGAUCCGCGCUGCAUUAGCUAGUUGGUAAGGUAACGGCUUACCAAGGCAACGAUGCAUAGCCGACCUGAGAGAGUGAUAGGCCACACUGGAACUGAGACACGGUCCAGACUCCUACGGGAGGCAGCAGUAGGGAAUCUUCCGCAAUGGGCGAAAGCCUGACGGAGCAACGCCGCGUGAGUGAUGAAGGUCUUCGGAUCGUAAAACUCUGUUAUUAGGGAAGAACAUAUGUGUAAGUAACUGUGCACAUCUUGACGGUACCUAAUCAGAAAGCCACGGCUAACUACGUG
rnacentral:rRNA from 1 species